AGAGAGAGAGAGAGGUGAAAGAGGGAGGGAGCAAGAGAGAAAGAGAGAGAGAAGUGGGAGAGAAAAGGAGAGAUAGAAGUGGAAGAGGGAGUGAGAGAGAGAAAUAGAGGGAGAGAGAGAAGUGGAAGAGGGAGCAACUGGGAGAGAAAAGUAGAAGUGGAAGAGGGGGAUAAAGACAGAGAGAGAGAGAGGUGAAAGAGGGAGGGAGCAAGAGAGAAAGAGAGAGAGAGAAGUGGGAGAGAAAAGGAGAGAUAGAAGUGGAAGAGGGAGUGAGAGAGAGAAAUAGAGAGAGAGAGAGAAGUGGAAGAGGGAGAGAGAGAGAAGUAGAGAGAGAGAGAAGUGGAAGAGGGAGAGCGAGAAGUGGAAGAGGGGGCAAAAGAGAGAGAGAGAGAAGUGGAA
ensembl:lncRNA